rnacentral:tRNA from 1 species
GGGGAUUUAGCUCAGUGGUAGAGCGCUUGCCUAGCAAGCACAAGGCCCUGGGUUCGGCCCCUAGCUCCG